GAUGAAGAACGUAGCGAAAUGCGAUAAGUAAUGUGAAUUGCAGAAUUCAGUGAAUCAUCGAAUCUUUGAACGCACAUUGCGCCCCCUGGUAUUCCGGGGGGCAUGCCUGUUCGAGCGUCAUUUCACCACUCAAGCGUCGCUUGGUAUUGGGCAACGCGGUCCGCCGCGUGCCUCAAAUCGACCGGCUGGGUCUUCUGUCCCCUAAGCGUUGUGGAAACUAUUCGCUAAAGGGUGUUCGGGAGGCUACGCCGUAAAACAACCCCAUUUCUAAGGUUGACCUCGGAUCAGGUAGGGAUACCCGCUGAACUUAAGCAUAUCAAUAAGCGGAGGA
rnacentral:misc_RNA from 1 species